UGAAAAGUUCCGGGCGGUUAUGGAUGGGCAUGCGKUUGUAUUAGCUAGYUUGGUGGGGUAACSGGCUCACCAAGGGCGACGAUUACAUAGGGGGACUGAGAGGGUUAACCCCCCACAUUGGGUACUGAGACACGGACCAAACUCCUACGGGAGGCAGCAGUGAGGAAUAUUGGUCAAUGGACGCAAGUCUGAACCAGCCAUGCCGCGUGCAGGAAGACGGCUCUAUGAGUUGUAAACUGCUUUUGUAUGAGGGUAAAAWUAAAUACGUGUAUCUAACUGCAAGUAUCAUACGAAUAAGGAUCGGCUAACUCCGUGCCAGCAGCCGCGGUAAUACGSAGGAUCCAAGCGUUAUCCGGAUUUAUUGGGUUUAAAGGGUGCGUAGGCGGUUUGGUAAGUUAGAGGUGAAAUUUCAGGGCUCAACCUUGACAUUGCCUCUGAUACUGCCGAGCUAGAGAGUAGUUSCUGUGGGCGGAAUGUAUGGUGUAGCGGUGAAAUGCWUGGAGAUCAUACAGAACACCGAUUGCGAAGGCAGCUCACAAAACUAUAUCUGACGUUGAGGCACGAAAGC
rnacentral:rRNA from 1 species